AGCCAGUGUUGUCGUCCAUUCACUGAAGGUUACUUGUGAUAACCGUCCGUCUUAUAUAAAUUUUUUUUAUAAUUAGUAUUUUUAUUAUUGUUAGAUGAUAAAAUAUGAAUAAUAUUUUAUACGUGACUUAUCUUUUUAAAUUUUUUUAAUUAAGACGGACGAUUAAACGUUAGUCAUAAAACCCAGGAAUUAAG
rnacentral:pre_miRNA from 1 species